AUAUAUCAAUCCCUCUAUUUUAAAAAGAUUUGCAUCAUCACCACAUACUUUUCUAUUUAAUUCUUAAGAAAAAUAGAUAUCCAAUCAUUCUCCUUUGGCCUUUUUCUUAUUAAGGACAGUGUUACGUGUUGGGUUUUGUCCUCUUUUCUUGGAGAUACUAGAAUCUACAUAAAAAUAAUAAAAAAAUAUAUUAAAUUUAAAUAUAAAUUUUAAUAUCUAAAUUUAUUCU
rnacentral:lncRNA from 1 species